rnacentral:lncRNA from 1 species
CCUGGGGUCCCACAGCUUCUCAGGGGUCUGUGGCUACCCAGAGCCACAGAGAUGUCUGGGGUCAUACAGCACCCCAGAAUCGUAAAGACACCUGGGGACACACUGUCAUGCAGGGUCAUACAGCUGUCCAGGUCGUGCAGCCACCUGAGCUCCUCCAGACGUUCCAUGUCAUGCAGCUUCCCGAGGUCGUGCAGCUCUCUGGGGUCAUAUGCCUAUGCAGGGUCAUACAGCUUUCUAAGUGUUGUUUCUCCUCCUUGGGGCACCUCCUCCAGGAAGCCUUCCAGACCACACAAGUGUAUGGUAAUUCCUGCCUCUCCCCCAGCGCACACCAAAAAUAAAGCCGGGCUUUGUGCCUUGAAUCACCAUUUACAGAGCAAUGUAUACUUCACAAAGUAUUUUUCUGUCCGUGUCUCACUGAACCUCACAGGAACCCUAAUGGGGUCAGAUGAGUUUUGUCCCCGUUUUGCAGAUGGGGACCUGGGAGGCAAGGGGAGGGUGUAUGCUCACACGAGGGUGCAGUUGCACCCGUGCCAACCCUUCCCGAAAACUGCCUGGGUGCCAAGGGCUGCCCCGUGUUUCCACACAGUUGUUUACUCAAUAACCAUUGACUGAGCACCUACUCUGUGCCAGCCGCCGACACAGAUGCUGUGCCAGCAGCACCGAGAAAACAGACCAACACAGUCCCUCCUCCUGCAAGCCGCGUCCUAGGGAGAAGAGACCGUGCUCGGCAAGUCAGGUGGUGAGUGAGGUGGUGACACUCUGUGCAGACCAAGAAGUGGGGGGAAGCCCGAGGGGGGCAUCAGGCAAGAUCGCAGGUGAGGGGACUUGGAGACACCUGAAGGAGGGAAGGGACAGCCCCAAGGAUGUCCACCCCGAAGCCAGACUGUCUCCCAUGGGGGGCCGGGCCGUGCCCCUCUGCCCCCACCCUGAACACUCCCCGAGGAGGCCCCCCGCUGCAGCUCUCCCCGGCCCUGCCUGCUGGGCCCUCGCCCUCGCCCCGGCCACCAAUCCUGCACCCC